UCGUCGGUGAGAAAAGUAAACUAGAAAAAAAUAACAAGAGACUACUACUUCUGUGACUCACAGAUUACAAUUCGUUCUUUUUUUUAAAAUGUUAUCCGUGAUUAUCGUCGAUGUCUGAAGCUCUGAUGAUCUCUGGAUGAAAAACGCGAUCUGAUGAUCCGAACUCGAAGAUCACGAUCUGGAAUCGGAAACCGGAGAUCAAGAAUGUAAUCCGGAAACACAAAGAUCUGAAUCACGAUCUGAAAUUGUAUCGGCGUGAAUCUGAUGAAUCUGGAAUGUGUGCGGAGUGACGAUCUCAGGUGAUUCUCACGAUGAGAGUUGUGUUGUGUCUAAUGAUCCGGUGAUGUUGAUUUUGUCUUUGAGAGUACCUCUGAAAAUUGCGAGAUGAACUUGUGUUGUCUGGACACAUGCAUGAAUCACCCGUGGAAACUUCAAGCCGGAUCUGAACUAACAAAGUCUGGAAUUUGAAGAAAUCGUCGUGUUCAAAGAAUCACAAUAACCGAAUGUGAGAAUCCGUAACGCUGUUGAUCACGGAUUUGAAGAAUCCGUAACUGAAUCUGGAGAAAUCGUCGUCGAUUUGAAAUCGAAGAUCUGGAGAAUCGAAGGUCUGGAGAAUCGUGUUGUCGAUUUGAAAUCGAAGAUCCGGAGAAUAGACGCCGAUCGUCGUCGUCUGGAUUUGAAAAACUCGUGUCGUGCAAGAAAUCGUCGUCGUCCAGAUCAAUAACUGAAUCUGGAAGAACGGAAUCGCGAUUUGCUUUUGUGGAGUACGAUUUGCGUGUGAAGAAAUCGUCACUUUGAAGAUUGAUUUUACUGCCAGAAGAUUGAUUUGAAGAUUGAAGAAAUCGUAGAUCUGCAGAAAAAAUCGAGGAUUUGAGCAGAGUCUGGAACAGAAGAUCGUCGUUGUCUGGAACGGAGGGCGAUCGCCAUUGCCAGAAGAAAAUCGUCGUCGUCGUCUGAAGACUUUUUGCAGAUCUGGAGCGCGGAGUCUGUUGCAGUAUUGAAGCGGAUGUGGAUGCAGAUGCAGAAGCGGAUGCUGAGCAGAGUGCUUGAGCGGAAACGGAUGUUGUUCUAGUAGAGGAAGAGCGCAAGAAAAAAUCGUAUUUUCUCUGGUAGAACACCUGCUCUCGAUACCAUAUUGUAAACUGAAGUGAAUUGGAUUAUAUUAGAAUGAGUUGCCUUUUACAAUUCAUAUCUAUCUCUAUUUAUACUAAUUAUUCUCUAACUGAUAGUUGUUAGAGUAACAACCUUUUACUUAUUAAUAUUAACAUCACUAAGUUAACAAUUACACAUACACUCUAACAUAGUCUUAAUUUUCAGAAACCUUAGUAGUUCUUGUGACGAGUUUGACAAUCCUGGUAUCAUAAAUCCCUUGAUGUUUAUCUUAAAGCAGAUGUAGGAUAAAUCCAAUAUUUCAACGCGUAAAUACUCACGACUCGUCUUACCUAGUUACUUGUCUUAUAAGUUUUAAUUUUAAUUCAAAUAAGGGAGAAUUUUUAUCUAUCUAUUUAACCAUCUGAGAAGAAAGAAAGAAAGAGAUCAGAGAUCGAUCCAUGGAGGGUAUCAUACCUUUUGUGAUUCAUAAAAUCAAGGGAAGUAGUAACAAUAAUAUUCAGGCGAAGAAUAGCUUGAAAGAAGGCGGUUCAGGUCACGGUUUGCUGCUUCAAAGAUUGGUGGAUGACGGUAGUAGUCGUGGCAAGUCAUCAUCAUCUCACCACCGUAGAGAGAGGUAUGAGCCACCACUGCCGAUUGAAAAAAGCUUCGGCGGAGGAAAAAUGAACAUGAAAUCCCAACUUGGAUAAUCGAUUGUUCAGUGAUGUUUUUUAUUUUAUUUUAUUUUGUUUGUUUGAUUUAUUGUAUACAUUGAUUGAAUCAAGAGUCAAGAAUAUUGAGGAUUUAUGUAAAAAAAAAUUAUUUUAAUAAUUGAUAUAUUAUAGAACAUAAGGAAUUCCUCAAAACCGAGCUUCUGCUUUAGCUCGGGCCAGAUUUCAUCAGGCUGGAACUUGUGCUUUAGCUUGCCGAGCUUAAUUGGGUCAAGCUCGGACUUAGGCUCGAUAAGGAAUACUACAAGCUGGG
rnacentral:lncRNA from 1 species